rnacentral:rRNA from 1 species
UCUCGCGCGGUGCCACUUAGGUCACGUCGCGCGGUUAACGCCUUCCAGGUCAUGAUGCUAGCCGAGUUGAGAGCCUGAUCGCCCCCAUUUGGACUGAGCACCGUCCCAACUCUACGGGAAGCUGCCAGUAGGAUCUCACAUUGGCGAAAGCCCUGAUGAAGCACGCCCGCGUGUCGUGAUGACGCCUUUCGGUCGUAAAGCCACUGUUGUAUGGCAGACAGCUUAGCACUAGGAAAUGAUUUAGUUUGACCGUCACCAUACCAGAAAGGGACGCCUAAAUACGUGCCAGCCAGCCGCGGUAAUACGUAUGUCCCGAGCGUUAUCCGGGAUUAUUGGGCGUAAAGCGAGCGCAGACGUUUAUUAAGUCCUGAUGUGAAAGCCCCGGAGCUCAACUCCCGGAAAUGGCAUUGGAAACUGGUUAACUUGAGUGCAGUAGAGGUAAGUGGAACUCCAUGUGUAGCGGUGGAAUGCGUAGAUAUAUGGAAGAACACCAGUGGCGAAGGCGGCUUACUGGACUGCAACUGACGUUGAGGCUCGAAAGUGUGGGUAGCAAACAGGAUUAGAUACCCUGGUAGUCCACACCGUAAACGAUGAACACUAGGUGUUAGGAGGUUUCCGCCUCUUAGUGCCGAAGCUAACGCAUUAAGUGUUCCGCCUGGGGAGUACGACCGCAAGGUUGAAACUCAAAGGAAUUGACGGGGACCCGCACAAGCGGUGGAGCAUGUGGUUUAAUUCGAAGCAACGCGAAGAACCUUACCAGGUCUUGACAUCCUUUGAAGCUUUUAGAGAUAGAAGUGUUCUCUUCGGAGACAAAGUGACAGGUGGUGCAUGGUCGUCGUCAGCUCGUGUCGUGAGAUGUUGGGUUAAGUCCCGCAACGAGCGCAACCCUUAUUGUUAGUUGCCAGCAUUCAGAUGGGCACUCUAGCGAGACUGCCGGUGACAAACCGGAGGAAGGCGGGGACGACGUCAGAUCAUCAUGCCCCUUAUGACCUGGGCUACACACGUGCUACAAUGGCGUAUACAACGAGUUGCCAACCCGCGAGGGUGAGCUAAUCUCUUAAAGUACGUCUCAGUUCGGAUUGUAGUCUGCAACUCGACUACAUGAAGUCGGAAUCGCUAGUAAUCGCGGAUCAGCACGCCGCGGUGAAUACGUUCCCGGGUCUUGUACACACCGCCCGUCACACCAUGGGAGUUUGUAAUGCCCAAAGCCGGUGGCCUAACCUUUAGGAAGAGCCGUCUAAGGCAGAACAGUAUGUUC